rnacentral:rRNA from 1 species
CCUACGGGAGGCAGCAGUGGGGAAUAUUGGACAAUGGGCGAAAGCCUGAUCCAGCAAUGCCGCGUGAGUGAUGAAGGCCUUCGGGUCGUAAAGCUCUUUUACCAGGGAUGAUAAUGACAGUACCUGGAGAAUAAGCUCCGGCUAACUCCGUGCCAGCAGCCGCGGUAAUACGGAGGGAGCUAGCGUUGUUCGGAAUUACUGGGCGUAAAGAGUACGUAGGCGGUUAUUCAAGUCAGAGGUGAAAGCCCGGGGCUCAACCCCGGAACUGCCUUUGAAACUAGAUAACUAGAGUCUUGGAGAGGUUAGUGGAAUUCCGAGUGUAGAGGUGAAAUUCGUAGAUAUUCGGAAGAACACCAGUGGCGAAGGCGACUAACUGGACAAGUACUGACGCUGAGGUACGAAAGCGUGGGGAGCAAACAGGAUUAGAUACCCUGGUAGUCCACGCCGUAAACGAUGAUAACUAGUUGUUCGGUCACUUGGUGACUGAGUGACGCAGCUAACGCAUUAAGUUAUCCGCCUGGGGAGUACGGUCGCAAGAUUAAAACUCAAAGAUAAUACGACGNGNGAGNGCGACGACGACGACGAGGAGGAGAG